rnacentral:rRNA from 1 species
GAUGAACGCUGGCGGCGUGCCUAACACAUGCAAGUCGAACGGAGUCCAGCCUUUAAGACCUUCGGGUCAAAGAGGGGAAGACUGAGUGGCGGACGGGUGAGUAACACGUGGGCAACCUGGCUCAUAGAGGGGGAUAACAGAGAGAAAUUUCUGCUAAUACCGCAUAAGCACACACUGCCGCAUGGCAGAGGGUGAAAAGAGAAUCGCGAUGAGAUGGACCCGCGUCUGAUUAGCCAGUUGGCAGGGUAAGAGCCUACCAAAGCGACGAUCAGUAGCCGGUCUGAGAGGAUGAGCGGCCACAUUGGGACUGAGACACGGCCCAAACUCCUACGGGAGGCAGCAGUGGGGGAUAUUGCACAAUGGGGGGAACCCUGAUGCAGCGACGCCGCGUAAGUGAAGAAGUAUUUCGGUAAGUAAAGCUCUAUCAGCCGGGAAGGUAAUGACAGUACCUGAAUAAGAAGCCCCGGCUAACUACGUG